rnacentral:rRNA from 1 species
AUUGAACGCUGGCGGCAUGCUUUACACAUGCCAGUCGAACGGCAGCGCGGGCUUCGGCCUGGCGGCGAGUGGCGAACGGGUGAGUAAUACAUCGGAACGUGCCCAGUAGUGGGGGAUAGCUCGGCGAAAGCCGGAUUAAUACCGCAUACGACCUGAGGGUGAAAGCGGGGGAUCUUCGGACCUCGCGCUAUUGGAGCGGCCGAUGGCAGAUUAGCUAGUUGGUGGGGUAAAGGCCUACCAAGGCGACGAUCUGUAGCUGGCCUUAGAGGACGACCAGCCACACUGGGACUGAGACACGGCCCAGACUCCUACGGGAGGCAGCAGUGGGGAAUUUUGGACAAUGGGCGAAAGCCUGAUCCAGCAAUGCCGCGUGUGUGAUGAAGGCCUUCGGGUUGUAAAGCACUUUUGGCGGGAACGAAAAGGACUGUGCCAAUACCACGGUUCGAUGACGGUACCCGCAGAAUAAGCACCGGCUAACUACGUG